rnacentral:rRNA from 1 species
ACUCCUACGGGAGGCAGCAGUGGGGAAUCUUGGACAAUGGGCGCAAGCCUGAUCCAGCCAUGCCGCGUGAGUGAUGAAGGCCCUAGGGUCGUAAAGCUCUUUCGCCAGGGAUGAUAAUGACAGUACCUGGUAAAGAAACCCCGGCUAACUCCGUGCCAGCAGCCGCGGUAAUACGGAGGGGGUUAGCGUUGUUCGGAAUUACUGGGGCGUAAAGCGCGCGUAGGCGGACUGGAAAGUUGGGGGUGAAAUCCCGGGGGCUCAACCCCGGAACUGCCUCCAAAACUCCCAGUCUUGAGUUCGAGAGAGGUGAGUGGAAUUCCGAGUGUAGAGGUGAAAUUCGUAGAUAUUCGGAGG